rnacentral:rRNA from 1 species
UACGGGGGGAGCAAGCGUUGUUCGGAUUUACUGGGCGUAAAGGGCUCGUAGGCGGCCAACUAAGUCAGACGUGAAAUCCCUCGGCUUAACCGGGGAACCGCGUCUGAUACUGGAUGGCUUGAGGUUGGGAGAGGGAUGCGGAAUUCCAGGUGUAGCGGUGAAAUGCGUAGAUAUCUGGAGGAAUACCGGUGGCGAAGGCGGCAUCCUGGACCGGCAUUGACGCUGAUGAGCGAAAGCUAGGGGAGCAAACGGG